rnacentral:misc_RNA from 1 species
AACGGUCUAUACCUGCGGUACCUGCGGAGGGAUCAUUAGUGAACGCCCUCACGGGCUUAUAACUAUUCCAAACCUCUGUGAACCGUGCCCUUCGGGGCUAUUUUACAAACAUGGUGUAAUGAACGUCAUAUAUCAUAACAAAACAAAACUUUUAGCAACGGAUCUCU